rnacentral:lncRNA from 1 species
AAAAAGGGACAAUCGUUCCCAUUGAAACCCUCUCUUCUCUCUCCUAAAGCCAGAUCUUAGAUCUACUUCAUCUCCUUUUUUCUUUUUUCGUUUAUUGAUCUUCAGUGUCGGUUGAUGGGUGAGGGAGUGAAGCGGUGGUGAGCGUCUUUCUUCUCCGGUGGUGUGAGGUGUGGUUUGGUCUUUGGCUCAUUGCUUGUUGGUGGCUCUCCUUCACGGCGGCCAGAGAAGCGGUUCCUUCGUUCUGCUGGUUAAGGACAACAGUAGAUUGGAUCUUGUUUCUCACGGCUCGGCGGCUUGUGAUUGUGGCUCCGGCGAGUAGCGGAAGUUGAGCUUUCGAUCGGUGGGUUUCACCACUUUGCGAAGAGGUUAACGGUGGCUCCUUGGCAGGAUCCUAGAUGGCUAGUUUCGGGUGAUCCUUGGCCGGAUUUGGGCGGUUGAUGGCUUGUUUUGAGCCGGCGUCCAUCAGCUGCCUCCGUUUUUGGCUUCCUCUUUGCCGGAUCUGAAGACUGAUUUAGCUUUUGGAGUGGUUCAAGGAAGAACGUCGAGGGAAGUAAGGGUUAGUUUUGAUGUCUCUCUUCUUGCUAGGUCGGGGAGAAGAGGUCCUGGGUCUCGGUUGUGGCGGAUCUUCCUUUCCCGAAAGGAAAGUUCUGGGUUCGGUUUGUGUCUCGGCGACAGGUUGCGACCGGAUUUGCUAGCUCCGGUCAAAGUCUUGCUGUUGAGGUCUUGUCCGCAAAGGAACCGUCCUUGUUAGCAUCGGAUCUGGAAGGCGAGAUUCGUGUUUUCCGGUGUACUGCCUUCUUCAGAUCUCACUUUGCUUGUGUUUCUGAUUGGGCCAUUUCUUUUUGUAACCCGUUAAUUUUCUAGGCCCAUCAGCCUAAGCCCUUUUUGGGAAUUAUUAAUAUAUUAAAAAAAAAAAAAAAAAAAAAAAAAAAAAAAAAAAAACCAAU